GUGUAGUUAAAGCAGAGCGUAGCAGCUGGACCCAGGCAUGGCAGCUCUUCUCAGCUCUGCUCAUAGGAGAUAAGAGAACGGUGCGUAGUGCCUGAAGGGCCCCUGGUACCAGUGCACUUGUUUUUGCUGCUCCAUAGCCCCUCACCAGCUCUCUCAGGACCCCAAGCAACAGAUAGAGUACUGUCGGUAACACUGAUACACUGCCUGAAGUAAAAGAACAGAAGUAAGCAACAAUGGUGAACAAAUGGAGGGAAGUUCUGAGAGAAUUUCCAAAGCCAGGGUGACGAGAGUACAGUCGCUGUCACUCAAGGAUGACACAAUGCUGCCCCGUCUGCUGGCGCUGCCUGCCAGACGAGGACUCAGCUGAGGAAUUUUGCGUAGCAGUGUGCACAAGCACAGUUCCAGAGCUCCAAACACCAGAGACUUCCCUGGAACCAGACCGCCCGUAUCCCGUCCCUCGCCAAACUCUGGUACUGUCUCUUUCUCAGCUGCCCCAUCAUCCACUGAGCACAUUAGACACAACACAGAGCUAUGAAUAGAGGCUGCAGAUUCUUCUAUCUCCUUGAAACAGUUGGAAACGCGACUCAGUCAGACCAGGCUACUUGUUUCCAGUCAUCUAGUGUCCAGUGGCGGUGCUGUGAGGUGCAUAGCUCUGUGUCGAGCAUUCAUCAGGGGUACUUAAGUUGGGUGUCGGCUCCUUAAGCCCAUAUCUUGAAAGGAACAUUGUACAGUCCUUAUGCUGAUGUUUGUUGCACAUAUAUAAUAAAAUAUAUAA